GUGGAUUAGAUACCCGGGUAGUCCGCACGGUAAACGAUGGAUGCCCGCUGUUGGCCUGAAUAGGUCAGCGGCCAAGCGAAAGCAUUAAGCAUCCCACCUGGGGAGUACGCCGGCAACGGUGAAACUCAAAGGAAUUGACGGGGGCCCGCACAAGCGGAGGAACAUGUGGUUUAAUUCGAUGAUACGCGAGGAACCUUACCCGGGCUUGAAUUGCAGAGGAAGGAUUUGGAGACAAUGACGCCCUUCGGGGCCUCUGUGAAGGUGCUGCACGGUCGUCGCCAACU
rnacentral:rRNA from 1 species